AGAUUGAACGCUGGCGGCAGGCCUAACACAUGCAAGUCGAGCGGUAGAGAGAAGCUUGCUUCUCUUGAGAGCGGCGGACGGGUGAGUAAUGCCUAGGAAUCUGCCUAGUGGUGGGGGAUAACGUUCGGAAACGGACGCUAAUACCGCAUACGUCCUACGGGAGAAAGCGGGGGACCUUCGGGCCUCGCGCCAUUAGAUGAGCCUAGGUCGGAUUAGCUAGUUGGUGAGGUAAAGGCUCACCAAGGCGACGAUCCGUAACUGGUCUGAGAGGAUGAUCAGUCACACUGGAACUGAGACACGGUCCAGACUCCGUACGGGAGGCAGCAGGUGGGAAUAUUGGACAAGUGGGGGAAACCCUGAUCCAGCCAUGCCGCGUGUGUAGAAGAAGGUCUUCGGAUUAGUAAAGCUAACGUUUUAAGGUGGGAAGGAAGGUACGAAGUUAAACUUAAGUACGGUUU
rnacentral:rRNA from 1 species